rnacentral:lncRNA from 10 species
ACUGUGAGUCAAUUAAACCUCUUUUCUUUAUAGGCUACUAAUAAUUGGAUUCAGUUUGACUUAUUUAUUUAAUAUUCACUCUGUUCUCUUUUUCAGGCACAAGUACCAGUGAGACCUGGGGAUCUUCAUUUGAUUUUGUCUACUGGGUGAGGCUGUGUUGAAAACACUUUGACAGAGGGCUCUUCUCUUGGGGCUCAUCAAAUAUUGCUGGUAGAGGGUUUGCUUGCUUUAAAUAUUCCUUUCCUCAGGUAACGAAGAAUACCAUGUAAUUUGUAAUGAUAACUUGGAUAAUGAAUGCACACUGUAGUCAGCCAUUUUUUGCUUAGUUACAUUCUUAAAACUCCCAAUCAUAAACAAGAAAUACAUGUAAUUAAAAUUUAGAUAAUAAUAUUUAAGACGGUUGUUAUAAAGAACAACUAUAUUACAUAAAAUAUUAAAUUAUACAUUAUUAGAUAAAUACAUUUUUAUUAUGUCAAUCAGGAUUUAGAUUUAUCACUAUUACCUACU